AAAGCCCAGCGCUGAAUCCCUUUGCCACAGGCUAUUGGGAACUGUAGCGUAUAGGUGUAACAUUUCGUUUGUUUUCGCUCACCCAAAGUCCCCUUGAGUGGGGCCACAGUCCAGAGAAGGUGCUAGACCUGUACGGGUGGUGAAGCAGGCGAAUUUGUUGCUCCUUGGAGUCGAGUUGCCUGGGAUCGCAGCUCAAAGUUGGUGGUAGAUUUCAUCUAAGGCUAAAUAUGGCUACGAAACCGAUAGCAAACAAGUACCGUGAGGGAAAGUUGCAAAGAACUUUGAAGAGAGAGUUCAAGAGGGCGUGAAACCGCUGAGAAGGAAACGGAUAGAGUUGACGAAACUUGGCGGCAUUCAAUCGAUGUAACGUUGCGGCGCUUACGUUAGUAUGCCUCGAUGAGGAUGCUGACGUAGGAGUUGCUGUAUGCGUUUAUGCUCGGUGUAUUUGCCGUCGGUAUGCGCUGAGAAAAUCAUUAUAAUGUGUUAAAGCUGGCUGUAGAGGACCAUUAUCAUUAUGAUGAUGGAAACCUUGGCCUGUCUAGGCAUAUUUGUAAUGAUUGCUAGCUUUUGCAAUGUAUUUGCUUCGCUGUUGUACAAUAUGUUAUUUAUGAUUGAUGUGAUUGUUAAGCGGUCGCAUGCGACUUGCUUUGCAUCGAUGUUGAUUUGAAUAGCAUUUAUUGUGUCAAGUAAAAUACGUCUCGGUGUGAAAGUCAAUCACCUAUCCGACCCGUCUUGAAACACGGACCAAGGAGUCUAGCAUAUGCGCAAGUCAUUAGAUGGUAAAUCUAAAGGCGUAAUGAAAGUAAAGAUCGCUUUAAAGCGGUUGAUAUGGGAUCCGUUGUGGUUAGUGUGUUGAAAAGCGCAACCAUUCGGCGCACCAUAGCCCCGUCCUCGUUGCUUGCAAUAGGGCGGAGGAAGAGCGCAUACGCUGGGACCCGAAAGAUGGUGAACUAUGCCUGAGCAGGAUGAAGCCAGAGGAAACUCUGGUGGAGGUCCGAAGCGGUUCUGACGUGCAAAUCGAUCGUCUGACUUGGGUAU
rnacentral:rRNA from 1 species